CCUACGGGUGGCAGCAGUGAGGAAUAUUGGUCAAUGGGCGAGAGCCUGAACCAGCCAAGUCGCGUGAGGGAUGACGGUCCUAUGGAUUGUAAACCUCUUUUGUCGGGGAACAAAGGCGUCCACGUGUGGACUGAUGAGUGUACCCGAAGAAAAAGCAUCGGCUAACUCCGUGCCAGCAGCCGCGGUAAUACGGAGGAUGCGAGCGUUAUCCGGAUUUAUUGGGUUUAAAGGGUGCGCAGGCGGCGAGUUAAGUCAGCGGUAAAAUUUCGGGGCUCAACCCCGACAAGCCGUGGAAGCUGGCUGGCUAGAGUGGGCGAGAAGUAUGCGGAAUGCGUGGUGUAGCGGUGAAAUGCAUAGAUAGCACGCAGAACUCCGAUUGCGAAGGCAGCAUACCGGCGCCCAACUGACGCUCAGGCACGAAAGCGUGGGUAUCGAACAGGAUUAGAUACCCGGGUAGUC
rnacentral:rRNA from 1 species